rnacentral:rRNA from 3 species
CCUACGGGAGGCAGCAGUAGGGAAUCAUCCGCAAUGGGCGAAAGCCUGACGGUGCAACGCCGCGUGAGUGAUGAAGGUUUUCGGAUCGUAAAGCUCUGUUGACAGGGAAGAACCCACGUCAGUCGAACAGGCUGGCGUGCUGACGGUACCUGUCCAGAAAGCCCCGGCUAACUACGUGCCAGCAGCCGCGGUAAUACGUAGGGGGCAAGCGUUGUCCGGAAUUAUUGGGCGUAAAGGGCACGCAGGCGGUUUCGUCAGUCCGAUGUGACAGGCCACGGCUCAACCGUGGAAGGCCAUUGGAAACUGCGAAACUUGAGGACAGAAGAGGAGAGUGGAAUUCCACGUGUAGCGGUGAAAUGCGUAGAUAUGUGGAGGAACACCAGUGGCGAAGGCGACUCUCUGGUCUGUACCUGACGCUGAGGUGCGAAAGCAUGGGGAGCAAACAGGAUUAGAUACCCUGGUAGUCCAUGCCGUAAACGCUGAGUGCUAGGUGUUAGGGGUUUCGAUACCCGUAGUGCCGAAGCUAACGCAUUAAGCACUCCGCCUGGGGAGUACGACCGCAAGGUUGAAACUCAAAGGAAUUGACGG